UUCGCCGGCCGUUUAAUUGCGCGCCGGCUUAGACGACGAUUGCAUCGUUCGAUCGUGAUUAACGGACGUUUUGUACGUGCUUCCUGGUACUGUGGAUUAUAUCGCUGCGUCUUUGAUUACAUAUUUCGAAAAGUUUGAAUUUCUAUGUUUCACUAAAUCCUGUCGAAAGUUGGAGAACAUAUGAAACAGACAUAUUGGAGCUCGAGGUCACAUGAUUCUCAGCCGCACGGUAUCAAUUCGGAACUAUUCCAUCGUCCGUACUAUACUCAACUUAUCCGAUGAGAUUUAAUCCGAAUGAGAAAUUUGACAUAUCAAUUUGCAAAUGACUAUUGCAGCAUGAGAUUCAAAAUACGUAUCUACUCCUAUAGAAUGCGUACGGCAUCUAAAUAUAUAUUUCUAAAUUGCCUAUAACUGCUCAUAACUAGAGAUUUUUUCCGAUAGCUAAAAAUAAUCAAACGCCAGCAAUCGAAAACUAAUCCUCUUUCGUCGGAAAGAAACAAAGCUUAAAGCGGUUGUUAACAGUCGAGGAGAUGAGCUCAGCGUUAAUAGGGUAAGCCGAAAUGCAAGAGUCGCGUGACAUUUCGCGAGGUCCCGUGGCUGAGCAUCGGCCAAGAAAAUAUCCCUACUUGCAAGAACGGUGUAUCCGAGCGUGACAGAGGUGACGUUAUAAGACGAAGUACCAGAGAGAAGGAGAAAGAAGUAUGCAGAAGCACUCGUGUCAGAGGCGACCAAUAAAUUUAUCGAGCGGGUGUUGGCAUGGAGACUGCCGGACAGAGCUCGGCUGGAUGGCCCAGAGGGCGAUGAGAGGGCACUCGAGAAUCCUCCAGGAGCCCGUCACGGGGAAAUUGGAGGCAGCCACGGCGGCGGCCACGAGGAGGAACACAGAAAAGAGAGAGAGAGAGAGAGAGAGAAAGAGGAGGUGGAGGGUAAGAGCAUGUACUCUCGGAGGAACGACGGAGACAGAGGUUGAAACGAAGAAGGAGAAGCUCCGAACCGGAGAAGAGGGGGCUGAGGUAUCGAUUUCUCGCGGUGAUCCAAUCAACGAUGGUGCCUUAUCUGACGCCUUUGCCACCCGCUUUAACACAUCGGUGUCUCUGAUAAGAAAAAAUAAAUUUCACCCAAUCGUUCUUCUUCCUAUUUUACUUAUUUAUCGAUUAGGUUAACAAUGUCAUAUUUCGGGGAAGGUAUUCGUUUUUCAAAUUAGAAAUUAUUUAUACACCUAGUCAGAGACGCGACGAAAUCAAUACACGUUGGCGAAGCUGCAAGAUGCAGCCAAUAUUUAACGAGCCAACCAGUCAAUCGCUGGCUUUCUUUAACCCACGGUGAUCUUUAAUUCAUUAACGACAUUAAUUAUUCAUCGCCGAUAACGACGACGGAAUCGCUGAUCGCCAUCCCUUCUCGAUUACAAGCAGAGCAGAUCUCGUCGUGUGCCACGUCUGCGAGAAGUUCCAACUGGAAAGACGGAUCCUUUGUUAUUUUCCCGGCUUCUCCUGGAUAAAUCGGUAUAGCCGUGUCGGUACAAUUGUAACGAUGUUGGAAGGGGAACGAAACGGAGCGUUUUCACGUGGACGCUCGAUGUGUACGGACUGGCUAAUCCCUCUGACAUUGUUCCAAAACAAUACGAUAUCCGCCCCUAAUUUGUACCGCCUUCCAGCGGCCGCUUCUCUUUCGCGUUGUACGUUGAACCGACCGGCUGACAGAGUCAAUAUUUUCGCUUUCUAGUCCUCCACGAAGGAGACGGUAUAUCGGCGGAACAUUGGCGGAACAUUGGCGGACCGCGAAGAAGAGAAGAAAAACGCGGAUUUCUGAAUAGCUGGCUCCGACGAUGCUCGCACGGCCUGCUUGCUCAGCCGUUUCGGAUUAAGUCGCGUCUCGCGUGCACGUGGAACUUGCCUCUUCUGGAACAUUUCUUCUUUGAUAUCUUCUUGAAAGGAUCAGUAUCGUUAAUUAUGUGCAAUACUUCUUGAUAAAAUUAUUAUAAAUAUUUGUAAAACACUUGGUGUAACAUUGUAACAGUUUCGUAUCAUUUCAAGCGUAUUCUCCAGGAGAGUAUUGUUUCCGAAGAGACAGGGUGUACCGCGAGAAACAAGCAAUGAAAAUCGCAUUGACGAUGAAAGUAGCAGAGAGGAGCCACAGUGAGAGUGUUUGAAUCGCACUCGCGGGACCUAUGUCGGUCCAACUGGUUCUACGUUUGAUUUCAGGGAGGCAAGAGGGAGUCGGGGUAAAAAACGAGAAGGCGAAAGAGAGAGAGAGAGGGAGAGAGGAAACGAAAGCAGAGGAGCGAAAGAGUAGUGCGCUCGGCGUUGUAGGACUCUCCGCUGGAGAGCUCUCCCUCUCUCUCGCCCGCUUAAAGCCCUAUCCACUACUCAUUUAUCAAAUAAAUCAACACAGCUACUUGUGCACCUGUGAAGAGAUCCAGCCGCUACCCGAGCCGUCCAAAAGCCCGUUUCAAUCCGUAAAUCGAUUUCUUCACUUCACCGUGUAAGGCGUAAGGAGUUGGCUUUAAGAAAUCGAUAGCGAGAUCUGAUUUGAUAACAUCGAGCAAAGGUAAAGCCGAAAAGACGGAAGAAGAAUGCGAAUACAAGGGGGUAAGGUAACAGGAGAGCCGAAGGGAAAGAAAGAGAGGAGAAGGGCAUAAUCAAAGAGCUUCGAAAAAUCAGGAUGCACUUAGAAGCACGUACUCGGCCUAUAGAGAGGCAUUCAGUUAUACUGGUGAGUUUGGAGUCAAAGCAAGGACCCUUGCCUCAGCUGGCGCAUUACCUCCGCCGCUCUCGCGUCCUCUAUGGCCGCGUUUACAUCCACGCUACCUUUUCCUCCGGAAGCCACAGCUACCGUAUUUACGAUCAUAAGAGACAGCAUCGACUCGCCUCCUAAUCGUCGAGUCGAGUGCUGUCUCGAUUUUUGGAUGAUCUUUAAACCAUUUCAUAGUUUCAGAUUGGUAUUUCUGUGAUUGUCCUCGUGAUGGGUCCACAUUGAUUUUAUUAUUUCGUUAGAAGGCAGAGGAGAACAUAAGUUUCAUUUUUGAUAUAGAGACGCAUUAAAUGCAAUGAAAUUAAAUGCAAAGAAUCGAUAGAGGAAAUAUUACUGAAAAAUAAUAAAAUAGAUAUGGUACGACUGAAGAAUUAAAACUUCGUAACUAGUAGUGAAUAAAUGAAACAUGAAACAAAAUAAAAAAAGACUUUGUUGAUAUUUCUACGUGAUAGGAAAUUAGAGGAUUGACCAGAAAAUGAUUCACAUUCAGAAACUUUAGUUCGAUUGCAUGCGACACGAGAUCAAACUCAAUCCCAUGAACUCAAAUACCGUUCACCAAGCAUCUAACCGCAAGUCGUUUAAAGGUCCUCGAAUCUUUUACUAGACGUAUCGGAAGACCAUUAAGGUAACGCUCGUGAACAGAGACAGCAGAAGAAAAAACAAUCACGCCCCUCGUGCCGUCGAAAAGUCGUCGAGAGAAGAGUCUGUUCCCGCUCGAGGAUCGUGAUUAGGUGAUAUCGAAUCCUACACACUUGCUCGACGCGCGAGUAUACCGAGGAGGUUCCAGGAGAACGAGGAGACAAGCAGAAAAGAAAAAGAAAGAAUAGAGAGAGAGGGAGGAGGGGGACAGAGAGAGAGAGAGAGAGAGAGAGAGAGAAAGCUGUGGCGAGGGAGGAAGCACACGAGUGCACAGGAGGUCGCGAGCUGAAGAGUUGCGGUAGAAACGCGGUGGAUCCUGAAAAGCGAGAAGAGCGCUGAAAAGGUGGCUACUCGGCUUUGUAACGGAGUUAAGGAGACGAGAAAGAAGACGAACAGGGAGAGGAAGAGGAAGAGGUAUAAACGUCGCAAGCGCAGAAACGUCACGAGAGGAAGUUAGGAAAGGAACGGGAGGAAGAAAGGAACGAAAAGAAGAGGGAAGAAGACCUAAACUGGUAGAAAAAAAGAGAGGAAAACAGUGCGUCGCGAAGAAGAGGAAGAGGAAGAGGAUGGUCCUUGUGCAGCGAGGACCCCAGGAUACCGGCAAGGAGUAUCCUAGAACUGUCGAGGAUGCUUCACUCCCAUCGUCCUCUUCCUCGUGGCCCCCUUUGCGUCCCGUAUCUCUCCUCUUUUCCUCCGCCUGUCUUCCUUCCGUACUCCUCUCUCUCCUCCUUGUAAAUACGCCCCUCCUGAGACCCAUCAGGAUCUCUACUCUUGCAAAGAGAAGCGUCGUCUCCUUCAAAUGCUACACACUGUGAGGGAUAUCAUCCCCUUCUUUCGUUCCCUUCCUCUCCUUUCUUUUUCUCCCUUUUUCCUUCCCAUCUCGAUCUUUCCUCCACUUUCUUUAUUUCUUUUAUUUUAUUUUAUUUCCCUUUCUCUGUACUUUGAAUUUACUUCUUCUACCCCUCGUACCCUAUCGUAAGGCAACGCGCGAACCAUCCGUGUGUCUCCGUCGCCUCCGAUCUCGGCAACCGCGUUAUGCGCCCCGAGACUUUCGUGCAGGUUGCGAAAUCAAGGACCCUUCGAGAGCUCUGGAGUAGGUGGAGCAGAGUGUGGCCGUGCGAGAACACGCCAGGUUUCCCAACGAAGGUGUCGUUUGAAACGACGAACCUCCAUUCUGUUUAUAGACCUCUCUCCGAUGGAGACAUCAAGACUAGAUCUCAAAUUUUGUAGUAACGUAAUGACUGAAUUUUUGUACCAUCGUUUUAAGAUUAAUUGACAGAGACGCAAGAUUGUCCCAACACGGAGAACCGAGGAAAUGUAGUUUCAUUGAGCAAACAGCGAAGAAUAUCCAAAUUUUCGACGGAACCGCGAAAUUCGACGCGGUGGUCCGAGGAAAUUCCAGAGAAGCCAGUUGAAGAGGAUUCCACGGUCAGAUCUGGACGGUCAGCACGGUCGCGAGUCCUCGAAACGUCGGUGAAAUCGGAUCCUUCGGGAGUGGCUGGUAGAUGGGUCAACAAGUCGACACGUUCAGAAACGAGAUCGUUCCCUAACCGAGAAGAACACGGCCACCGUACGUUCCGAAACCUGAUACGUUCCGCAGGAAUCAAAACGUGUCAUGGAUCCGGCCACUUAAGCCUGGAGAACCUUUUACACUUCCGAUCCGAAAUAAAAAGGAAGAAAGGGACCCACUUCAAAAGCGCCUGCAAUUCUUAUUCUUCCUUCGAUCUAUUGACCGUCUACAAUCUACUAGACCAUGAUCUAUUGAUUUCUACAGAGAUGAUGUGUUUACACCUGUAUAUUACAAGGUUUGCAUAAAAGUGAAAGUCUUAAAGCAAUUUGAUAACGAAAGUUGCAACACCUACUUGAUAAAAUUAAUUUUCACCGAACAAGGAAACACCAGCACUUGGAUGAUAUACAAAUUGAUUAAUAUCGUACAAAUUCAAAUAAUAUGUUGGUUGCAUACAGGAUGAAAUUUGGAAAAGAAUGAUCAUCGAGAUUAUACUUUAAAAGAUCUUCGGUGACAAUGACAACGAAUAGGAAUUACCGCAUUAAAGAUUUUUAAAAAGAGGUUGGGGAAUCCUCUAGAAAACCGCACAAUGUCUAAAAAACCGGUCAAGGCGCCUGCUAAAAUCCGAUUCGACGGAUGAUCUUCGCCGAUGUCUACAGCAAGGUACAAUAGAAGAAAUCCAAUAGAAAAGACAGAGAAGGGUAGUUUCUCUGUUCCUUCGGAUUUAGAAUCCGUUGUUCGCCGCGUUCGCGCGGAAAUGAGGUGGAAAACCGCACCCUCGGGACCGACUCACCUUUUCUUUACGUUCACGAGGAUACUAACCGGGGAUUUCACCGACGCCGCGGUUUCUUGAUAUUACAAACGCGCGUAGAGCGGGUUCUCGAGGCAACCGAGCGCGAGGAAACGGUGCCAAGGUAAAAAACGAAAGAAAGAGAGGAGAAGAGAAAGAGGAACGAUGAAAAGCCCCGAUUCCGGGACAGAGAAAAAUAUCGGCGAUUCGGCAGGCAAGGGAAAGGCGGGAGAGAAAUGCGGAAAACAUUUUCAUUCGUCGAAUUCUCAACGUUGCAAACACGCCACGAUUGAUUUUCGUUUCUGUCGGUUAAUCGCGCGACCUAGAAACGCAAAUGUAAUUUACAUGGCGUGAAGAAAUGGAAUAAGUAAAAAUGAGAGACGAAUGGAGAUGCAACAAUGACAGUUGAACAGUCGCGAAAGCGUCUUUCGAGGAUCUUUAAACGACGAUGAAGAGAAUUGAACCUUUUAUAAACUAGAAUCAAGGCGUUCAUUAUGUAAACUGCGUUCUAUAUAAAAAAAACGAAAGCGGGCGAAGUGAACGUCUAAAAAACACUACUUAAUUAUAUAACACAGCAAAGAAAGAGCAGUUAAAAACAAUUACAAAAAAAUAUAUAUAUGGAAAAACAUUUAAAACGAAAACACUAGAAACUAAAUGAAAAAAGCAAUAAAAAGAGGAUAUGAAAAAGCAAAGAAUGAAAGCAAAAUCACCGUAGAAAGAAGGGUAUUACGAAGCGUGUUUACACAUAUAUUCAGGGAGUCGUCCAGCCUCCCCCCCCCCUCUCUCUCUCUCUCUGUGCGUGCACAUCCGUCGUAUAUAAUCGUGCGUAUGCAGGGAGGCAACAAGAACUCGUCGUCAUUUCUGAAUUAAUCUCAUUCGACUGCCCCCUUUAUGCUCUCCUUCGCAUCCUGCGAGGCGAAAGGCUCGUAGCCGCUUCGUGGCCUCAAGGUUAAUUGGAACGAGAGCUAGAAAAGGAAAAGGAUCGAAUAGAAAUCCCACGGGGAAGGUCACGCAAAUUCUCUUACCGAAUAGUGUCACUUAAACGCACGUUCGACCGAUGCACUUUCACUUCAAGGGUCAAAGUACAAGGUUGCUCCCUUUUUCAAAACUUAAACAGCUUGUGCUCUAUGGCUGACGACUGCUUUCAGAUCUCGGAUAUACAUAAGUUCGUAGAUAUAGGUACGAGUAAUUUACGAUUUAGUACUAGAUCUAGGAUCUAGAAGUUACUACUGGGUAUUAAUGGGAGGGUUAUUAAGUAUCUAUCGUUCGUUAUUAAUAUGAUUUUAUUAGUUUUAGGACGCAACGUAAAAACUACGAAAGAGAAAUUGGACAUUAUGAAUCCUAAGUGGAAGAAAAACUUAACUUUGAUGAAAAAAUUAAGGAAAAAAAGGUAAAGAUUUUCUUCUCUAAAACUACAUGCAUUCAAGUUAUUUCUGAGAGUAAAGAGAAGAAAAUUAGAAGUUAGUGCACAGGUGUAUCGAUGAUGGUCCCUCGACAAAACAACGUAUCUUUUCUUUGGCUGGCCGGAGAACGUAGGAUAUGCGCAUCAUUUACUUUUAUUAUGUGAAAGAGGCUCCUCCAUUCAGGUGAUCCGCUGAGAUCCAAAAAAGAAAGGAAAAUUCUCUCGCGGCCGUUCUUUUUCUUGCGAACGAUAGAGGACCUUCGUCCCCGGUUAGCUCAUGGGAACGUAAUACGAGCAGACGUGUCGGUCCUCGACUCUUCAAUUAGCCCCGGAAGUCAACGUAACGAGAAUUUCAGGAAAAAUAGAUCUAACACUGCGAAAAUAUCUUUUCCUCUUUCUUUCGCUCUAGAUUCAGUUGCUUUCUGUCGUGGUAAAAUUAUUUACUAUAGUACCACGAGCCUCAGAUUUUUUAGAUAUUUUUUACAAAUAUGUAUCGUAAUAGAAAUUAAGAAACAAUGCUACAUAUUACAAAAGAAUAUUCUAAAUAUAUUCAGAAUUUCAGAUAUUGUAAGAUACAAUAACUGGAAAGAAAAAUAUUCUACCUUGUACGCAAUUACGCUAGGAAUUGCAAAAGUCAGAGAAAGCAAUGCAACAGAGAGCAUUGCAGUGUCAGCAUGAAAUAUUAAGUAGUAUCGGACAGUUACGAAUCGGACACUUCCCCGAUUAAACAGGCAACUGAUGGUCCGAUAAUAUCGAUCAUAUAAACGAAUAUGGGGUCGGUUUGGCUUUAAGUAAAAGACCAAACGAAUCGACCCCUGCCUCCUCCAUCUCGUAGUAACUAUAGAGAGUCGAGGGCAGCCUUUCUAUUAGCCACUAGAAAUCGCACGUACCCUUCACAGGAACAAAUCGAAACGGUACCAUAGCUGCUGGCCCUCCUGGCUCUAAUAGAGUUUCACGCUCGCCGAGAGAAUUGCCUCGAGUCAGACGAUCCUGGUGGACCAAAGCUGGUCAAGCGAAGAAUUGAUAAUCAAAGUGAUCCCAAACGCCCCUACUGUGUCCCUUAACGAUUUUGAUUGCUCCGGUUGCAUCGAAGGAUGAGGAAAUUUUUUGCUUGAUCUCUGAUGCGUAUAAAGAUAUAUAAAAAUUGAUAAUUUUCAAUAUAAUUAUGUGAAUUUCUUUAUUAAAUAUAUUCGAAUAGGAUAAUUUAGAAUUUCCUUAAAAAUCGUCGACGUUAAAAAUAGCCAAUUAAAUAUUAAAAAUAGCUUGUUAAAUACUAAGUAUCAGCAAUCUAUCCAACAGUCCCUAUAAAUUAUCCUCGACGACCGCCGAUAUCUUCGCCACAAAGGAAAAACACUCGCUCUUAUCGUUCCCAAUUUUACCCAAGAAACCACGUACUUCUCCACGUACCUACUGGAAUUUUCACCCCAGGGAUCUCUGCGCGGACAUCCGUGCUUUUCGAACUCUUGCCUCGCGGCAACAAGAGGAUUUCUCUCAUUGCUAAUAUUUUUUUUUUUUUUUUUUUUUUUAAGUAUUUCAGUGUCAGCGAGCGAGGAAGAGUCGCGGUAAAGGACCUGCCCCCUUUCACUUGCCCUCCCCUCUCAUCCGUUAGCAAAGGUAGGAAACAAGAAAAAAAGGAAAGAAUGAACGAAGAGCGAGGAGGAAUAACCGAGACAGAGGGAGGGUAGAGCAAAGAAGGAGCAGAAAAGGGAAAAAGAAAUCUGUAUCUUUGACGAAACCGAAGAAGACUCGUCGUACGUGUCCUUAAGCGACUGCCAGGCUUCCACGCUAAUGAGGCGCGGCGUAAUUAGUGAGACUGUCUACUGGCUGGACCCUUGACGAGAGGGCGGAUCCCUCUCGACGUCGAGUCGCUCUCUCAUCCCACCCCUCCGGUUCGCCACUCCACGCAUCCUCAACCCGUUUCACGAUUUCUUACCGGUGGUGAAGAAGGAGCCGCGGCUCGCUGACACCUUGCGGAUAUUCACGACUUUUCACCCGUGCUCCUCCGCGAGGUAAAAAAUAGCGCGAUUAAAUCUACCACUCUAGCCGGACUUAAUUCGCUUUUCUUCUGGCCUCACGCAUCGUGCACGCUUCGACCAUGAAAUCUUCUCAUUUUUUCUUCGUUAUUCUUUUAUAAUUUCAGGCGAGAUCGGCGGCUGCAGAUUGCUGUAAACAUGCUGAAAAGCUUAUUUAGAGCUAACUGGACGUGAAAUACUAAGAAUUGUUCGAUUUUGAAAACUUGACGCCUUCGCAACUCAACGCGUGACUCGAUGUUUUAAGGCUCUUGUAAAUGAUCGAAAGUUGGAGAGAUGGGGCAAAAUUGAGUCAACAAGAUAAUUGCAGCUUAUUAUCGAAAUUACCAUAGAAAGCCAAAUUCGCAAGAAAUCUUAUUAAACUGGAUAAGAGAUAAUUUAUUGGACGUAUAAAUCUAGAGCGAGACGAGGAGAAAAUUACCUACGAUUUCUCCGAUAACAGGAAAACUGAGAAAUAAGAAAAAACUAAAUGAACUUGGACGAUCUUACAGAGAGAUACGGUGUAGGUUGUCCAUGCGAUUGCGAAGGGGGUGGGUUUUCGAAGGCGGGAAGGCCGAUUUAGAGCACAAUGCGGUUCAAUGCCGAGGAAAUUAGCCACGGCGCUGCCAGUGACGCCCGUCAGUCCCACACCAUGGAAAACAGAGACCGUAUCUGUCCCUGUUGCCGGGCUAUGGGAGCACGAGCGUAUCGUUAUCCCCGUGGUUCGUACAAAUUUUCAAUCAACCACAUACUCGACUCCACUCAGAAUUCUUUGCUAAAUUAGAGAAACUCUUGUGAAAAGAAUUUUCAAUAUUAUUUUUAAUCGAGGAGCUUAAUAAUUAAAAUCCAUCGUCGCGUGUAUUCAAA